CUGCUGCGUAGUGCUGUUGCAGUGAUGGGCGUCACCUUUUCGUCUCACCCCUCGGAUGGCUCGUGUGUCCGCAGUACGUGUUCACCUUCGUAGCCAAGAAGGGCAAACGUACGCACUUCCUCACUGAAUCUCCUCACUUCAGGCUACCACCCGAUUAUCGUUUUGAUUUACGUCCAACUCGAAAUUCAUUUUCUUGACCAGUUGGAUUCAAAGGGCAUUUCAAGGUGUAACGCAACUUACCUAAUAAUCACAUUUUUUUUUCAAUGCCAGCUCAGCCAACCGCUUAUAAAAAGCGAAUCAAUUUCCUCUGUUCAAAGUAUACCAACCUUGGCUAGUCCAUAAAAUGUUAUACGACACAAGUGGAUGGGUGGAUAGGAAACAGGCGUUCCCCUUAGCUCUGUAACCGAGGCAUAAAAGUGAGUUUGAUUGGAGGACCACAAAGGCAUACCCUGCAGGCGUGAGGCGUCGCAGCAUUUCACUGUCACGUUUACCAACUACGGUAGGGAUCAUUCCUGAGAAAAAACGGUGCAAUAGGUUUAUGGCUGAAGUCAACCGCCCCUGUCAUUUGCGUAAUACGCAGACGUCUCUUAUAUAUGGCUCUUACACUGGCAGUACUGUGAAAUGAACCAAGAAGAACGAGUGAACGUCUGCUAGGAUCCCGUUAGCCAUCGAUUUCUUCGCGUUACUAA